rnacentral:miRNA from 1 species
UCUGGAACCGAUCGCCUCAA